rnacentral:rRNA from 1 species
UAGCCUUUACCGUGUAAAGCCCCUUCGACGAGUCGAGUUGUUUGGGAAUGCAGCUCUAAAUGGGAGGUAAAUUUCUUCUAAAGCUAAAUACUGGCCAGAGACCGAUAGCGCACAAGUAGAGUGAUCGAAAGAUGAAAAGCACUUUGGAAAGAGAGUUAAAAAGCACGUGAAAUUGUUGAAAGGGAAGCGCUUGCAGCCAGACUUGCCUGUAGUUGCUCAUCCGGGUUUCUACCCGGUGCACUCUUCUAUAGGCAGGCCAGCAUCAGUUUGGGCGGUUGGAUAAAGGUCUCUGUCAUGUACCUCCUUUCGGGGAGAACUUAUAGGGGAGACGACAUGCAACCAGCCCGGACUGAGGUCCGCGCAUCUGCUAGGAUGCUGGCGUAAUGGCUGUAAGCGGCCCGUCUUGAAACACGGACCAAGGAGUCUAACAUCUAUGCGAGUGUUUGGGUGUCAAGCCCGAACGCGUAAUGAAAGUGAACGGAGGUGGGAACCUUUCGGGGUGCACCAUCGACCGAUCCUGAUGUCUUCGGAUGGAUUUGAGUAAGAGCAUAGCUGUUGGGACCCGAAAGAUGGUGAACUAUGCUUGAAUAGGGUGAAGCCAGAGGAAACUCUGGUGGAGGCUCGCAGCGGUUCUGACGUGCAAAUCGAUCGUCAAAUUUGGGCAUAGGGGCGAAAGACUAAUCGAACUAUCUAGUAGCUGGUUCCUGCCGAAGUUUCCCUCACGAUAGCAGUAACGUUUUCAGUUUUAUGAGGUAAAGCGAAUGAUUAGAGGCCUGGGGGUUGAAACAACCUUCACCUAUUCUCAAACUUUAAAUAUGUAAGAAGUCCUUGUUACUUGAUUGAACGUGGACAGUUGAAUGUAUCGUUACUAGUGGGCCAUUUUUGGUAAGCAGAACUGGCGAUGCGGGAUGAACCGAACGCGGGGUUAAGGUGCCAGAAUGCACGCUCAUCAGACACCACAAAAGGUGUUAGUUCAUCUAGAC